rnacentral:lncRNA from 1 species
GUGUGAGAAAGCAUGUGUGUGAGAUUUUGAGCUCCAAAAUUUUUAUUGUUGUAUGUAUUGUUCACAGGAAAACAUGAAUGAUAUUACCUUAAUCUUGAUGAUUGAUUGAAUUGCAUGUGAAUGUCAUAUGAUCAAGGCCAUUUUUGAAAACCCUUCUCUAGCCAAAUUUUCACCCAAAGUUCUUGAAAAUAUUUUACCCUUUUUGACCCUCAGCCUUAAACAGUAUGUGAACCCUUGUCUUGUAAAUCUUUACCUUGAGUUGGGAUGAGCUUAAUUAUAUGUGAUGAAAAGGUUCAAGUUUGGGGUUGUACGAGGGAAAAUUGAAAAAGCAAGCAAAAGGCAUUGAGCUCAAUUGUUGUGUAAAGAGAAAAAUUUCAUGAGAAAAAGAAAAGAAAAAAAGCAUGAAGAUGAGCUCAAUGAAAAAGAAAAGAAAAGGGAAGAAGUGGGGAAUGAGAGUCAUUGGUGAGAGAGUUGUGCUUAAAUGUUAAAUAUUUUGUUAGCUCUCUUGACUCAAGGAUUUUGCAUUCUAGAAAAACCAAUUUUUCUUGUUAACCCAACCUCAUUACAAGCCUUGAAAAAGUCUUUUUGAUGCCAUUUGCAUGUAAAGAUGUUGAUUGUUUGAGAUGAAUGGCAAUUUUGUUU